AACGAACGCUGGCGGCAGGCUUAACACAUGCAAGUCGAGCGCCCCGCAAGGGGAGCGGCCGCCGGGUGAGUAACGCGUGGGAACGUACCUUUUGGUUCGGAACAACUCCGGGAAACUGGAGCUAAUACCGGAUAAGCCCUAACGGGGAAAGAUGUAUCGCCGAACGAUCGGCCCGCGUCUGAUUAGCUAGUUGGUGAGGUAACGGCUCACCAAGGCGACGAUCAGUAGCUGGUCUGAGAGGAUGAUCAGCCACACUGGGACUGAGACACGGCCCAGACUCCUACGGGAGGGAGCAGUGGGGAAUAUUGGACAAUGGGCGCAAGCCUGAUCCAGCCAUGCCGCGUGAGUGAUGAAGGCCUUAGGGUUGUAAAGCUCUUUUGUCCGGGAAGAUAAUGACUGUACCGGAAGAAUAAGCCCCGGCUAACUUCGUG
rnacentral:rRNA from 1 species